CGGCGUGCUUAACACAUGCAAGUCGAACGUGAUUUUUGUGGAAAUUCUUUCGGGAAUGGAAAUGAAAUGAAAGUGGCGAACGGGUGAGUAACACGUGAGCAACCUACCUUACACAGGGGGAUAGCCGUUGGAAACGACGAUUAAUACCGCAUGAGACCACAGAAUCGCAUGAUAUAGGGGUCAAAGAUUUAUCGGUGUAAGAAGGGCUCGCGUCUGAUUAGCUAGUUGGAAGGGUAAAGGCCUACCAAGGCGACGAUCAGUAGCCGGUCUGAGAGGAUGAACGGCCACAUUGGAACUGAGACACGGUCCAAACUCCUACGGGAGGCAGCAGUGGGGAAUAUUGCACAAAUGGGGGGAAACCCCUGAUGCAAGCGAACGCCCGCGUGAAG
rnacentral:rRNA from 1 species